UACGUAGGGGGCAAGCGUUAUCCGGAUUUACUGGGUGUAAAGGGAGCGUAGACGGCAGCGCAAGUCUGGAGUGAAAUCCCAUGGCUUAACCAUGGAACUGCUUUGGAAACUGUGCAGCUGGAGUGCAGGAGAGGUAAGCGGAAUGCGUGGUGUAGCGGUGAAAUGCAUAGAUAUCACGCAGAACGCCGAUUGCGAAGGCAGCUUACCGGCGCUCAACUGACGCUGAGGCACGAAAGUGCGGGUAUCGAACAGG
rnacentral:rRNA from 1 species